CAGUUAAGCUCUUCAGCGCCGAUGGUAGUCGGGUUUACCCCCGUGAGAGUAGGACGCCGCCAUGU
rnacentral:rRNA from 1 species